GACUUGUGUGAGGAGACAGGCGGAGGAGCCCUGUUUCCUCACUUGCAGACAGUCAGACCACUUCCUUUGGAAAUGGCGAGACUGUGUUUUCAGACUAUUUGCUUAAAGUCCUUACAGGCCAGAAGAUUGGUUACUGCACAUUAAGGUGCUGAGAUAGAUUGAUGAAGACAGAGAAGAUCUUGGCUGUCAUUAAGCUAACAUUCUAAAUGGGAAAAUAGAGAAUAAACACAAAGAAAGAAACAGGAUCACUUCAAAUAGAAGUUCUAUAAGAAAUACAAAAGAGGGUGUGGGAUAGAGUUGAGGGGGGCUGUGUACACGGAAGGCCUGGGAAAGUGAUACUUGAAAUGAAACUUGAUUUGCGGAAUGGAGCCAGCUGUGGGAGACCUGAGGACCAAGGUUUUCGGGAGGGAAUGGCCAGGGCAGGGGCCCUACGGCAGGAAUGAGCGUGGCCUCCUGGAGGCGCAGAAUGAACCAUUACUGGGUGUCCACUGCUUGGGGGUUUGGAAGCUAACCAUGCUCAUCUCACUGUAACAAUGCUGGUGACACAGCUCACUGGCAUCAUGACUCACCUCGAGCCUGCUGACUGGGCUGCGUGCUGCACGAUGUGAAUUUUCCCAUCAUCUGCUUCAGGCUGUCAGAACCCAGGAAUGGACCGCUGGGGGAUGGUCUGUGCACUGAACUCUCUGAUCAGAGUGACUGAUCUCCUUCUGUCCUUUCCCUUCAAGAAUGGAUCCAUCAUUUUCAGCCACAGCACCUCGGCUCCCCAGGGGACUGGCUUUCGCCUGAGCUGUCAGGGCUGGCUUCCCAUGGAAUGGGGUCAGCCCAUUCUGGAGGGACUGGCAGAGCAUUCAGCUGGCACACAGCUGCUUCAGGAACAUGUUCCAGUCACCCUGUCAAGUUACAGCUGCUGCAUUUGACGUGUCUAGUGCUUUGGACACCCCCGCAUGGGGAGACCCGUACAGAGAGGAGCCCUCAAGGGCCCUAGGCCAUGGCUCCAAUCCAGCUGUGGCUGGUCAUACCCGACAUCAUUUUCAAGUGAUACUUAUCAGUGAAGCAGUCACAUGAGAUCACAGGGCUAGAAGCUCCCUCAAAGGUCAUCCUGUCCUGCAUUCCUCAUGUGUCUGGCAUUUCCCAGAACUGAAGUGUUGGAAUGCUCCUGCCUCCACUUCAGCAGGUCGACUGCUAACCUUGAUGUCUACCCAGCUCCUGCAGACAACACAGUUCUCUUUUCUCUAACACUUGAACUUGGGGGUGGUGGGAACCACUGUAAUUAUAUCUCUGAGCUGUUAGAUUUUCUGUGUGAUUAAUAGGAUUUUAGGAAUGUGAUUGUUCACCUUAGGAGGAUAAGGUUGCCUGAAAGGGCCCAAACUGCCAUUUAGAAACCCUAGGUUCACUUCUCCCAGACCUGGGACACAAAAGCAGAAAUAUCAAAGUUUGAAGGGACCUUGGUGAUUAAUACCCUUCCUUUGAUAGAUGGAAAAGUAAUAAAAAAAAAAAUAGGAAAAAUUACCUGACCAAGGUUAAUAAUACAAUAAAAGAAGGCUCUUUGGAAUCCACAUGGGUUUUUCAUAGAUGUUUAUGGCAUUUUGCUGUAAUCUUUUGACUUACGUAACAAACAAACAAAAAAAAUAUCAAAGUUCUCUGGGCCUCUAUCUGGUUUUCUGGUUUGACUCUCACCAUCCUAUGUAGUAGUCUUUAUUUCUCUCUUUUUGCAGAUAAGGAAAAUAAGGCCUGGAAAGUUUAUAUCCAUUUAGUUAGUAAGUGGUGAUACUGGAUUAGUUUAAAUCCAAUAUCAUUUCCAAGUCCAUCUCCAUGAUCAUUUUGGGGGGGGGGGUAGGGCACAGCAGAAAUUAGCCAUAACUUAGGUCAUGCAGUACAUGCAGGAACUCUGAAAAAUCUCUACUCUAUUCCUGAAAUAGGUAUUCCAGGGUGUUACAAACUCUGAAUAAAGGAUUCUGAUUUUUAGCGAAACACCCUCACCUUCAUUGUAGCUGAUGCAGGGGCCCCAUGGCUCCUAACAUAACUUGGUGCUGUCAUCUUCAAAGCUGCCUCCACUUAUGUUAAAUAUCACCUCCUGGACAUAAGUGUGGCACUUAAAAGCCCAAGCUGUUAAAAUCAGCUGGGUAGUCUGAACCCUGGUUCCACUAUUUACUCUGGGCAACCUGAGGUAUAUUCCUUAAACUUCCUGUGUCUCAGUGUCUUUAUCCAUAAAAUGGGGCUAGUAAUAAUACGCUCCUGAGAAGGGCUGAAAACUAAAUGAGGCAAAAUGAGCACUUAGAGGAGUAAGUGCUCAAUAAAUGUUAGUUGUUGCUGUAUUUGCUCAUGAUACAACUGAAGGAAUUCUGUCAUGGAUCUGAGUUUUCCCCUGAGUACAAAAAGAAUAUGUUCCUAGUUCAUGACAUCGGGUGGACAUGCCAAGGUGAGAAGGAACCAAAAGAUACAGUCAUGUGCAGUUUACUUUUAGCUCCAGAGAAUGGUCUGUUCCCAGCCCUAUGCUGCAAGGGCUGUCUUCGUUUUCUGCCAGCAUCACCCCCUCCAACAGCAGAAAGCUUUAGGUCACUCACCUGAAAAGUUAAAGCUGACCUAGAGAUUAUGAUUAUGUAUAUUGUCUAAAAGAAAAAACAGAAGUAAAAGCCUCUUAUGUAACUUGAAGAGUGUGAAGGAGCCAGCGAUAAAAACCACUGCCCUGAACUUUUCCAAAGUACUAUAAAUCUCCCUGCAUCAAGAUUCUCCAGUUGUCAAGGUAUCGUUUGUAUUUUUGUCUUAAGAUAGACUAGAAAAAAAAGGUAACAACCCCCUGCCUGUUAGAUUGUGUAUUUGUGAUUAAAGGCUAUGAAGAUGGUACUAUUUGAAGUUAUUCCCAUCAUCUAAAACACACCCCAUGCUUGACUGAUGGUUUCUCAGCAAUAUUCUGACUUUAAUUUGAUCACUUCCUAUGAAUUAGUCUGUGGUUCCUCAUUCAAAGUCGGUUCUCUCUUCCUCCCCUUUUCUUUUCUGUUUCUCUCUCUAUAUUUUUUUUUCAUUUUUUUCCACAUAUUUAGAUCAUCUCUACUGACCUUUCAGUGGCUUAGCAUUUUGUGGCAAUGCACGAGUGAAGUUGGAAAACAGAAAAAUAGAGCCAAGUGACAAGCUGUGAAAUAACAGCUCAGCCUUCACAGAGCAAAUGUGCUUUGUGCUAUUUCUGGCCAGAGCAGAUGUGGCCUUGGUGGACAGCCUGUGGGGAACAAUAUUUCUCAGGGAAAAAUAAAUCAGUAACAUUAGGACCAAAAUGAUGCAAAUCCUUCAAUUUGCAAACAGAUCAUGAAGUGGGAGCCAGGUGGAAAGAACAUGGACUGGCGAUCAGACAGGAUCCUGCCCUGGGUUUAGUCCAGCAUAUUCCACCAUGAUUAGUUGACCUCCGUCCCCCACCUUCUGGACCUCCACUCCCAGUCCUAAAACAGGGAUGGACAACUCGCUACAGCACAGCAGUGGCAUGCCAGAGGGCUAACGGAGGUCAGUUCACAGCAGAGGACCAUUCAGAGAUGAUGGAGAGAUGUGGAUCUGAAGGGGAGCAUUACCUUGUGAGCAUGUAAAUUCCAUCCCGUUAAAAGCAGGAGACAGUAUUUCUUUAUUCUUGCCCCUCAAUUAUCCUUCUUGUUUCCCAGUACAUGAAAGAGACUG